ACACUCCUACGGGAGGCAGCAGUGGGGAAUUUUGGACAAUGGGCGAAAGCCUGAUCCAGCAAUGCCGCGUGAGUGAAGAAGGCCUUCGGGUUGUAAAGCUCUUUUGUCAGGGAAGAAACGGUGAGAGCUAAUAUCUUUUGCUAAUGACGGUACCUGAAGAAUAAGCACCGGCUAACUACGUGCCAGCAGCCGCGGUAAUACGUAGGGUGCAAGCGUUAAUCGGAAUUACUGGGCGUAAAGCGUGCGCAGGCGGUUUUGUAAGUCUGAUGUGAAAUCCCCGGGCUCAACCUGGGAAUUGCAUUGGAGACUGCAAGGCUAGAAUCUGGCAGAGGGGGGUAGAAUUCCACGUGUAGCAGUGAAAUGCGUAGAUAUGUGGAGGAACACCGAUGGCGAAGGCAGCCCCCUGGGUCAAGAUUGACGCUCAUGCACGAAAGCGUGGGGAGCAAACAGGAUUAGAAACCCCAGUAGUCCCAUGAA
rnacentral:rRNA from 1 species